rnacentral:lncRNA from 1 species
UCUCCUGAGACAUCAAAGGAAUGGAUCCACUAGAGAAAUUUACGCCACCAUGGUUCACACUAUAAGACGGGAGGUCAGACCCAAGAUCCCACAUCAGUCAUGUCAGACAGAUGAUGGCGUUUUGAAAUCACUUGGACGCACUGAUGUGUCAGGUGUUUCCAUCGAGCCAAGGUGCUCUUGGAUUGAAAUGUUUGAAUGGCUUCCUAUCAGAUCAACUGAAAGCUUUCACCAGCUCAACGAGUCAUUUGUAACUCGGUUAUUAUAAACGCCAAAGCACCAAAGGGUGUUGGCUCUCUUUUGACACUCAUAAAGGGUCAGAAUGAAUCACUCUGCAACUACAAUAAGCAUUAUUGAAAGACUUAUAACUAAAUCGAAAAAUAUUCGAAGAAGUUAGUAGUGACCAACUAUAAGCUCGGGCUAACUCCUGGUGAAAGGAUUUGGGAAAACCUGACGCUCAACCCUCCAGCCGAUCUCUGAGACCUCAUGUCUCGGGUCAAAAUAUUUGUUCGGCUGGAGGACGAUGUCCGACAAGCAGAACGAAACUUAGGCUCAACUCCCUAGGGUGAAGGGCAGUUCAAAAGAUGAAAGGAAAGCUUAACUGAUCACGAGAACCAGGCAAGGCGAGGUAUCAAUGUGGUAUUCAAAGAACCAAUCUAUAAGCUCUUUGCCCGAAUUUGAGAUAUAUUGUACUUCAAAAAUCUCGACCCUUAAGAGGAGACCCUAAAAGGCGCUAUCAAUAGUGAAAGUGUUCCUAUCACGAAGAGAAAGGACACAGAACCGAGAGUUGCUGAGCUUUGAAGACUUUACUUGACUAACUCGUAUGGAAUGGACACGUGAAGGAGUUCGUGAAUCAAGAAAAGACCAGAGCAGUGAAGAAAUGGACGAAAUCUAGCAAGAAGAUCUUCCAUUGGGGAUUAUUCACAUGAUAGGAGGCCCCAAUCACCCCAAUCUUAAGAAUAGGAUCCGGGGGAGAUCCACAUGAUUUGACAAAUGAACGAGGUACUCUCGGUCCAAUCAGUGGUUAAGAAGCCGAGGCAAAUAAUGUCUAAACCAAGAAGCAUCACGUUUAUCAAAGCCAACUUAGAGAGGGUCUAGCACCCCCAUGCUGACCCCCUUGUGAUCAAGCUCAUGAUAAACAAUUAUGAUGUGAAAAGAAUCCUUGUAGACACGAGGAGCUCUGUCGAGGUGAUAUAUUAUAACAUUUUUAAACAACUCAAAAUUUUAAAAUUAGACUUAAAACCAGCCUGAGCCCCCUGGUUGGUUUUAACGCUUAAUCUCACUAGCCUUUUUGGGAACUAUGGCUCCCAAAAUUUGAGUUGCAUCACAAGAGCUAGUGAUGGAGUUCGUAGUUGUUGACAUCAUUUUCCCAUAUAAUGCGAUUGUCGGCCAAGAUUGGCCACACAAGAUAAAGGGAGUGGCAUCUACACUACACCAAGUCAUCAAGUUUACCACCCCUGAGGUGAGAAAACCCUUUAUGGAGAUCAAGUAGCGGUUCAAAUAGUGCUAUCUUACUACAAUCUUCACUAAAGCAGCCAUAAAAGAGGCACAAUUGAUUGAGCAGGAGAGCAAGGUUCUAGAAGAUGUCGGGAGACAACCCGAGGCUAAGGUCAUAGAGGACCUAAUACGCUAUGAGCUGGAUACGUCAAGUUCGGAUUGUUUCUUUCUUAUUGGUACAAACCUAGAGAAAUGAGAGAGAAUCGAACUCAUCUAGUUCCUUACAGCAAAUAUUGCGUCUUCACAUGGACACCCUAUGAGAUACCCGAGAUAGACCCCAAUUUCAUCAAACAUGAAUUAAACAUUCUUCCCGACGCCCGACUAGUUAAACAAUGAGAAAGAAGAUCCGCACCCGAGCAUGUAUAUGUUGUGAUCGAAGAGGUGAAAAAGUUAAAGAAAGCAAAUGCAAUAACAGUUCUUUACCUGAGCUGGUUGUCCAACACAGUCGUGAUAAAGAAAAAGACUGGCAAGUGAAGAGUCUGCGUCGACUUUACAAGCCUCAAUCGGGCUUGUCCGAAAGACUACUUUCUUUUGUCAAAGAUUGAUUAAUUGGUGGAUUCCACUUCGGGGCAUGCCCAUAUAAGAUUCCUACAUGCAUACUGAGAUUAUCACCAAAUAACAAUGCACAAGCCCGACCAAGAAUAAACUGCAUUCAUCACCCCUGAGGCAUAUUAUGUUUCAAGGUUAUGGUAUUUGGGCUGAAAAACGCCUGAGGCACAUAUCAGAGGAUGAUCACCAAAAUAUUUGAGGCAAUUAUGGGUAAAAUCAUGGAUGCAUACAUCAAUGAUAUGGUGAUUAAAAGCAAAAGAGAGUCAGACAUUGUCAAGGAUUUAAUCAAAGUAUUUGCAAUAUUGAGAAAACAUAGGAUGAGACUGAACGUAACGAAUUGCACUUUCAAGGUGAGCUCAGAAAAAGUCAUGGGCACUGGGUGACAAGAGGGAUCGAGGUAAAUCUAAAGCAAAUUAUAGCGAUCAGUAACCUUGUCAGCUUGAGGACUGCGAAGAAG